GCCAAGUUCACGGCAGUUAAUGGUUUUUCCUUCCUGCUUUAUAUAAAUUAUAAUCCCAUCGUCUUUCUCUUGACCAACGCGCUGUGUACACUUUAGACUGACUCAGUUCCCGCCGUUGUGACUCGCUCCGGAUUGGCUGUUUGGGCUCUGGUUGUGGGACUCGAUUCGGAUUUUGGAUUUGGUGAGGUUUUAAGGUAAUCAUUUCUUGAUAUUGUGUUCUCUUACUGUGCUAAUUUCGAGUGGUAUUUGGAUCCGAGCGUUUUACAUUACGGUUUUGAUGGUGUGCUGUUAUGUUUUUCUUGAGCUGACUACGGCGUCGUUUGGUGUCGGUUCGAUUUGGAUCUUCUGCUAAAUGCGGCAAUGUGGAUCAUGUUCGACUGUAUCAUGAAUUCUUUUCUUUUUCUUUUUCAUUUGAUUAUUUCUUUUGUUUUGAAUUGUCAUUUUAUGCGUUUUUACGAAUUUUUGGAUGAUUUGAUAAGCAAUUAACAAGAAUUUUAAGUAUUUUUGCCAGAUCCAGUAAUGUUAAAGCAAUUUGUUUUGGUUCGCUUUAUAUGAUUAGUAGCUUCACUGCAAUUUCGUGCAUGUUUACUUGCUAUGGUGUGUGUAUGGUCACUUCCAUGCGAGUUUUUUGGCCUUUUAUGACCCAAUCAGGUUUCUGUUUCAUUUUUCAACCUAUCAUACAAUAUUCCAAAUUGGAGGUGAACAGUUUUCAUUUGCAGGGUCUUAAGCAGUAAGAAUUGGGUAUAUUUUUAAAGUUGAAUUAUCUGGUGAAAUUAUUGUAGCCCAUUGAUUUGUUAGAGAUCUGUUUUCAAUCGGUUGAAUUCUCUAGAUUUCUGAUCUCUUCUGUGUUUUAGAAGUGUACUUUUUUGCUGAAGACAGAAAUCCAUAAUGGCUGCCAUUAUUGUACGAUUACGAGGAAUCUUUUGCCUUUUCAUCCCUUUCUGUUUGUUUGAGUAUAUUAUAGGAAAACUCUUGGCAAUUUCGCUUCUCGUCCUUGUGUGUGGUACUUCAAAUUUUCCUCUCUUAGCAUUUGUCAAAUUACCAAAUUGGGGAUUAUUGCUUCACAAGAUAUAGGAAAAUGUGUAAAAUAGUUCCAACUCCAGAAGUUGGAAUGCAAAUUAAGUGCAGCUAUUUUGUAGAAUGGACCCUUCCUAAUAUUUCGGCUGUAAGUUGAAACCUUCUUCUAAUUCUUCCUAGCACUCCAUUGUGGCUGUUUCCUCUGUGCUUGGUGCUACAAAGUUAGGAAUCAGAAAAGGAAAAUUGUGUAACAUUCAAGUUAACUGAGGCCUCUUUUUCUUUUUUAAGAAGGAUAAAGUAAUUUAAAGCUAGUCAUUUACGUGAAGCAAUGGUUAUCUAGUAACUAUAUUCUGGUUUAGACAUAUUGUCCUUGAUGUAGUAACUGAUGAAAAAAAUAAAACCAACUUUAUCAUUUUUAUUAAAAUUACUGAUAUGUAGCGUUUUGCUUGAAGUUGUUCACUGAUACUGGCUAAUUCAUAUGGAUAGAUUGGCAUUACUCGUUUAGUGUUAUGAUUUAUGUUAUGACACGUGUGUUUAGAGCUUUUGGCUGAGUCCCUCACUCUUCAUUUUAAAUUUUGUGGUAUGUCGUCUCCAAUUCUUAUAAUGGAAUUGUUCGUCUCCCUGCCUGUUGUGAAGUUUUGAGGUUUCACUGCUUUGCCAUAAAAGAGAAUUCAUGAGUUCCUUCUUAUGUUUCUUUAGAUCUACAAUUGUCAUUAAUGAGGAUCUUUUGCUUUUUGUUGUGAUGAAUAGAAAAGGAGAUGGGUUCUGCUGAUGAUAAUGUCUUGGGUUCUGCUGAUAUUGGUCUUUAUUAAGCUGCUGCUUAGUUUCUGACUUUUCAAUUCACAGGAAAAGCAGAGUAUUCCACAAUGAAGGCGCUGAUUCUUGUUGGAGGGUUUGGGACACGGUUGAGGCCAUUGACCCUCAGU
rnacentral:misc_RNA from 1 species